rnacentral:misc_RNA from 1 species
GUAGGUGAACCUGCGGAAGGAUCAUUAUUGAAUAAAUCUGACGUGGUUGUAGCUGGCUCCCUUAAAGAGCAUGUGCACACCCGUCACCUUUAUCUUUCCACCUGUGCACACACUGUAGUCCUGGAUACCUCUCGCUGCAAGGCGGAUGCAGAGGCUGCUGUGCCUUCGAAAGAAGGUCGGCUUUCUCUGAAUUUCCAGGUCUACGAAUUUUAUACACCCCAAACGAAUGUUAUAGAAUGUAAUCUUUAUCAGGCCUUUGUGCCUAUAAAACCUAUACAACUUUCAGCAACGGAUCUCUUGGCUCUC